rnacentral:rRNA from 1 species
GACGAACGCUGGCGGCGUGCUUAACACAUGCAAGUCGAACGGAAAGGCCCCUUUGGGGGUACUCGAGUGGCGAACGGGUGAGUAACACGUGAGUAACCUGCCCUUGACUUCGGGAUAACUUCAGGAAACUGGGGCUAAUACCGGAUAGGAAUCCUUGCUGCAUGGUGGGGGUUGGAAAGCUUCGGCGGUUUUGGAUGGACUCGCGGCUUAUCAGCUUGUUGGUGGGGUAGUGGCUUACCAAGGCUUUGACGGGUAGCCGGCCUGAGAGGGCGACCGGCCACAUUGGGACUGAGGUACGGCACAGACUCCGACGGGAGGCAGCAGUGGGGAAUAUUGCACAAUGGGCGGAAGCCUGAUGCAGCAACGCCGCGUGCGGGAUGACGGCCUUCGGGUUGUAAACCGAUUUCAGCAGGGGCGAAGCUUGUGGUGACGGUACCUGCAGAAGAAGCACCGGCUAACUACGUG